rnacentral:snoRNA from 1 species
ACCCUCUAGUUUCCUUGUCCAACAGCUCUAAACCCUGGUCUGGGUGCUUUUAAAAGGACAAGUAAAAUUGAAGCUGACUUUAAUCAUUUUUGUGACCCACAAGCUAGUUUCACACAAAC